UACGGAGGAUCCAAGCGUUAUCCGGAUUUAUUGGGUUUAAAGGGUGCGUAGGUGGCUUUUUAAGUCAGGGGUGAAAGACGGUAGCUUAACUAUCGCAGUGCCUUUGAUACUGAAGAGCUUGAAUGAACUAGAGGUAGGCGGAAUGUGACAAGUAGCGGUGAAAUGCAUAGAUAUGUCACAGAACACCAAUUGCGAAGGCAGCUUACUAUGGUUUUAUUGACACUGAGGCACGAAAGCGUGGGGGAUCAAACAGG
rnacentral:rRNA from 1 species